rnacentral:rRNA from 1 species
UACGAAGGGGGCUAGCGUUGUUCGGAAUUACUGGGCGUAAAGCGCACGUAGGCGGCUUUGUAAGUUAGAGGUGAAAGCCCAGGGCUUAACCCUGGAAUUGCCUUUAAGACUGCAUCGCUAGAAUCGUGGAGAGGUGAGUGGAAUUCCGAGUGUAGAGGUGAAAUUCGUAGAUAUUCGGAAGGAACACCAGUGGCGAAGGCGACUCACUGGACA